GACGAACGCUGGCGGCGUGCCUAACACAUGCAAGUCGAGCGCUGAAGGUUGGUACUUGUACCAACUGGAUGAGCAGCGAACGGGUGAGUAACGCGUGGGGAAUCUGCCUUUGAGCGGGGGACAACAUUUGGAAACGAAUGCUAAUACCGCAUAAAAACUUUAAACACAAGUUUUAAGUUUGAAAGAUGCAAUUGCAUCACUCAAAGACGAUCCUGCGUUGUAUUAGCUAGUUGGUGAGGUAAAGGCUCACCAAGGCGAUGAUACAUAGCCGGCCUGAGAGGGUGGUCGGCCACAUUGGGACCGAGAAACGGCCCAAACUCCUACGGGAGGGAGCAAUAGGGAAACUUGGGCAAUGGGCGGAAGUCUGACCGAGCAACGCCGCGGGAGUGAAGAAGGUUUUCGGGUCGGAAAACUCUGUUGGUAGGGAAGAAAGUGGGUGAGAGUGGAAAGCUCAGCAAGUGACGGUAACUACCGAGAAAGGAACGGCUAACUACGUG
rnacentral:rRNA from 1 species